UCUCUUCUUGUCAGUCACAACACCAGCCUCGCCACCACACAGGCUCUCGUACAUCUCCGCCUAAACAUCGACAUUACAGUGCUCACAAACACACCCCAGUCUCGCCACCACUGCACGUCUACCAGCCACACCCUCUGCAAGUCCAGCGCUACCCGUAUCAUGCAGGGGAGACCGCAGGUCCACCAACAACACCACCACCACCACCACCACCACUGCCGUCCGCCUCCCCGGGUUCGAUACAGCGAGGACCCGAUGACUGGAGCUUGGUGGAGUUCAGGAGGGGCAGGUUUCACGCUACCACCUGCCUCGUACGUACCUCCUGGGCCGUGAACUUUAAUCAAAUGAGUAAGUGACUUUGAAUAAAUGACGCCAACAAAGA